rfam:Burkholderia sp. TJI49 contig158, whole genome shotgun sequence.
AGGCUCGUAGCUCAGUUGGUUAGAGCACCACCUUGACAUGGUGGGGGUCGUUGGUUCGAAUCCAAUCGAGCCUA